UACGUAGGGGGCGAGCGUUAUCCGGAAUUAUUGGGCGUAAAGAGCUCGUAGGCGGUUUGUCGCGUCUGCUGUGAAAAUCCGGGGCUUAACCCCGGACCUGCAGUGGUGACGGGCAGACUAGAGUGUGGUAGGGGAGACUGGAAUUCCUGGUGUAGCGGUGAAAUGCGCAGAUAUCAGGAGGAACACCGAUGGCGAAGGCAGUGGGCUGGGCCGGUACUGACGCUGAGGAGCGAAAGCGUGGGGGAGCGAACAGG
rnacentral:rRNA from 1 species